GAAGCAACACCCGAAGCCGGUGGAGUAACCAUUUGGAGCUAGCCGUCGAAGGUGGGACAAAUGAUUGGGGUGAAGUCGUAACAAGGUAGCCGUAUCGGAAGGUGCGGCUGGAUCACCUCCUUU
rnacentral:rRNA from 1 species